rnacentral:lncRNA from 10 species
AACUCACGUCUGUAAUCCCAGCACUUUGGGAGCCUGAGGUGGGUGGAUCACAAGGUCAGGAGUUCGAGACCAGCCUGAUCAACAUGGUGAAACCCUGUCUCUACUAAAAAAUACAAAAAUUAGCCAGGCCGAGUGUGGUGGUGGGAGCCUGUAAUCCCAGCUACUCAGGAGGCUGAGGCAGGAGAAUUGCUUGAACCCGGGUGGCAGAGGUUGUGGUGAGCCAAGAUCAUGCCACUGCACUCCAGCCUGGGCAACAAAAUGAGACUCCACCUCGUGGGGGAUAAAAAAGGACUUUAUUUAAGAAUAAUUGGCAUAAUAAAUGAUCUGUGGGAAAAUCCUUAGGAAUUUCUACAUAAACUAUUGAUGGCAGUGGUGGCCCAUCUGGAGUGGCCACUGUGAAGAUGCCAGCUGCAAUAGGGAGGGCAUGACUGGGGCUGCACAUUCCAUGGAGCCAGCGGGAGCCAGGAACAGGUGGGAACCCUCUUCCAAGUUGGUGGGGUAGGAGCCCCAUGUUCCUGAGCACAGCUGCAGCCUCCCAGCCAUAGCUGUGUACCCGGGCAUCCCUAUGCUCUCAGGAGCCUGGGAAGACCCGCUGACAGGCUCAGAAUUGCCUGCUCCUGCUGCCUGCCCUCCCCCCACUGCCAGCGCCCACUCCAAUUUUAGAGCAAAGUUGAAGCCAAGCCCAGACAUUUGUUGCAACCCAGCUGGUGUCUGUAUGCUCAUCCUGCCCACGGCUGCCCACGGACCAAUCAGCACGCAGUUCCUCCCUUCUGAGACCAUAAAAAUCCCAGACACAGUCAGACUCACAGAGAUAACUGACUACCAGCUGUGAGAGGGAGCUACCCAAUUUGAGUCUCCUUAACCCAUCCGACCACGUGUUUGCAGAAAAAAGAGCUCUACCCACUCCGAGUCUCCUGUUUGCUGAGGGCUGCACUCCUCACGACAACCUGCCUGCAGAAAGGAGCUCUACCCACUCCGGGUCUCCUCUCUGCUGAGAGCUGGACACUCAUUGGGACGACCUGCCUACAGAUAGGUCAGGAUGACCUGCCUGCAGAUACCCACCCUGGGUCUCUUCUCCACCAAGGGCUGCGCUCAUCAGAAGGACCUGCCUGUGGAAAGAAACUACCCACUUCGGGUCUCUGAAGGGCUAUUCUAUCACUCACUGUCUCCCUUGCUUACUCUCCAGUUGUCUGCAUAUGUCAUUCUUUCUGGACAUGGGACAAAAACUUGGGACUCACUGAAUAGUGGGACUGAAAGAGCUGUAACACAAAGCAGGGCUGAAACCGCCACCCCGCCCCCCCCCCCCCACCUCCCCGUGACUGGUUACCACAUUGCAGGCAAUGAGAAAAAAAGGGCUGCUGCCCUUUAGGGGUCCCAGACCUAGGGGGUCCCCAAGCCAGGACUCUGACACCCUCUUUGGGGCUCUGCAGUUUCUGGCAUCUCCAAGCUUCUGGAUGUCACUGCAUUCCCCUUGUCCAGACAUGAGUGCCCACAGCAGAAGCUGCUUGCAGUGCAUCAGAUCCAGCCACAUGCAUGCAUGGAGCCGGCACCUUUGCCGGUGCCUGGAGCUACCUGCCCCGCCAUAGCAGCCUUCAUGCCUGGCUGUGCACAGUGGCUGGACCCUGCGCUCACUUGCACAUGCACCCCUCACCAUUCCAUUCCUGGUUUGCCCUUGGCAGGUGUCGAAUUUGGGCCCAUAACACAAGCCAAGUGCAGCCUGCCAGGCCAAGUAGAUGGAACAAGCCCAGCAGGCCUGAGCAAAACUCGGACAAAGAUGCCAACGGCCACAGAGGUUUCUGGCUAGAAAAGCAACACCUUAAGGAUCCCAAGACUAUCAUGUUAUCUGCCAAUAAAGACAGUUUUCCUUCUUUUCA